rnacentral:rRNA from 1 species
AUUGAACGCUGGCGGCAGGCUUAACACAUGCAAGUCGAGCGAGCGGCGGACGGGUGAGUAAUGUCUGGGAAACUGCCCGAUGGAGGGGGAUAACUACUGGAAACGGUAGCUAAUACCGCAUACCAUCAGAUGUGCCCAUAUGGGAUUAGCUAGUGGGUGGGGUAAUGGCUCACCUAGGCCACUACCCCUAGCCGGUCUGAGAGGGUGACGAGCCACACUGGAACUGAGACACGGUCCAGACUCCUACGGUGGGCAGCAGUGGGGAAUAUUGCACAAGGGGCGCAAGCCUGAUACAGCCAUGCCGCGUGUGUGAAGAAGGCCUUCGGGUUGUAAAGCACGUUCAGCGAGGAGGCGUUACUCGCAGAAGAAGCACCGGCUAACUCCGUGCCAGCAGCCGCGGUAAUAC